GCCGAAACUUUGAAAAGUUGUCUUAAAGACGUCGCCAGGAGGACGGAAUGUUCUGCGAUUACUCCAAUACGUCACUACAGCACAUGCGCACUGGUUGGAAACAGCGGCAUCCUCUUGAAUAGCAGCUGUGGAGACGAGAUUGACUCACACGACUUUGUUAUCAGAUUCAACCUGGGGCCCCUCCAGAACUACACGAAGGACGUUGGACGAAACGUUAACAUGACCGUUGUUAACAGGGCGAUCGUCACGAAGCUGUUGCCCUUGUUCAGGGAAAACAAAACCUCCGAAGUUCUGAAUCUCCUCCGCGGCCGUUCAACAACUCGGUGUUGCUGGUUGCAAGAAUUAUGGUCUGGUCUUGGCGCGAAACUCAAGUCCCUUCCAACCACCGGUCUGCUCCUUCUGGGGGAGGCGAUAACGUUCUGCGAUCACGUCACAAUGUUCGGUUUCUACCCGUUCAACAAGGACCGUCAGAACCGCACGGUUCCCUACCACUACUGGAGAGACUUCACAGCAUUCCCCUCCAAAACACCUCACAAAUUUGUGUCUGAGUACAGGCUACUUGGGGCUUUAAUCAAUGACGGGAUUAUGAAUCACACAGUGGACUGCAACGUCAUUGAAGGGACCACAGAACAGACGAGGCCGAACGAGACGGAAUCUUUUCAGACGAAAUGAAAGUUUCUUUAUUCUGGACCCCUCUCAUAAGAUAGUUUUGGACAGCUGUGUGCCUCUUGGAGUGAUCUCCAAGCAGAUCGUAACAGCUGGCCCCUAGCUCCACUCUUGAGCAGCAGUUACUAUUUGACACUGGAAUAUCUGCUUGUAGAUUCUUUUAUUGGAUGGCAACUUUUGCUGUUUCUAGGCUGCCUUUUGUAUAUAGCUCUCACACGCAGAAGGCUGCAAGCAACAGGCGCCCUUCGCCACUGCUAAGCAUCGGAUAAUGAUGACGACAUGAUCUUGAUGGAAUUGGUAAUAUUUGCAGAUGGGGGAAGCUAGAACCCCAAAAUCGAAAAAGGUCAUUUUCAGUACUAAUUCAACACUCAGAAGCCCUAUCAUGCCAUGCGGUCACCCCAAAACUGAUGAGAUUCCACCAAAAAAUACACCCCCAUUGGUAACUUUAAACCUUGGCUCAAUGUCUCAAUGUCAAGGGGCAGACAACUGUACAUAGUGCCUCAUGAUCAGCACAAAAGGCGCUCGCGUUUCGCACAAAGG